GGGCCCGCACAAGCGGCGGAGCAUGCGGAUUAAUUCGAUGCAACGCGAAGAACCUUACCAAGGCUUGACAUGGACCGGACCGGGCUGGAAACAGUCCUUCCCCUUUGGGGCCGGUUCACAGGUGGUGCAUGGUUGUCGUCAGCUCGUGUCGUGAGAUGUUGGGUUAAGUCCCGCAACGAGCGCAACCCUCGUUCCAUGUUGCCAGCGCGUAAUGGCGGGGACUCAUGGGAGACUGCCGGGGUCAACUCGGAGGAAGGUGGGGACGACGUCAAAUCAUCAUGCCCCUUAUGUCUUGGGCUUCACGCAUGCUACAAUGGCCGGUACAAAGGGUUGCGAUACUGUGAGGUGGAGCUAAUCCCAAAAAGCCGGUCUCAGUUCGGAUUGGGGUCUGCAACUCGACCCCAUGAAGUCGGAGUCGCUAGUAAUCGCAGAUCAGCAACGCUGCGGUGAAUACGUUCCCGGGCCUUGUACACACCGCCCGUCAAGUCACGAAAGUUGGUAACACCCGAAGCCGGUGGCCUAACCCCUUGUGGGAGGGANCUGUCGAAGGUGGGACUGGCGAUUGGGACU
rnacentral:rRNA from 1 species